rnacentral:rRNA from 1 species
GACGAACGCUGGCGGCGUGCUUAACACAUGCAAGUCGAGCGGAAGGGCCACUUCGGUGGUACUCGAGCGGCGAACGGGUGAGUAACACGUGAGUAAUCUGCCCUUCACUUUGGGAUAACCCCCGGAAACGGGAGCUAAUACCGGAUACGACCGGCAACCGCAUGGUUUGUUGGUGGAAACUUUUUUGGGUGGGGGAUGUGCUCGCGGCCUAUCAGCUUGUUGGUGGGGUAAUGGCCUACCAAGGCUUUGACGGGUAGCCGGCCUGAGAGGGUGACCGGCCACACUGGGACUGGGACACGGCCCAGACUCCUACGGGAGGCAGCAGUGGGGAAUAUUGGACAAUGGGCGGAAGCCUGAUCCAGCAACGCCGCGUGAGGGAUGACGGCCUUCGGGUUGUAAACCUCUUUCAGCACCGACGAAGCGCAAGUGACGGUAGGUGCAGAAGAAGGACCGGCCAACUACGUGCCAGCAGCCGCAGUAACAC